rnacentral:lncRNA from 1 species
AUCCACCAAUCCUUUCGACCAUCACUUCUCUCAACUAUACAUGCCUUUAACCUGACAACAAAAGAGAGAUCUUAACAUCAUAGAUUUGGAGGCAUAUACUAUGGCAUCUAAGGAGGCAAUCAAUACUAAAUUCGAAGUCUUGGAGGCGCGAAUGGAGGAUAAGAUUCGGACGCUCUUUACCGAACUCAAAUUGGGCCGACCACUAAGCCCGAAAAAAUCAUAUCACGG